UCCAACCUGACAGAACUUGAGAGGAUCUGCAGAGAAGAUUGGGAGAAACUCUCCAAAUACAGGAAAAAGGAUAAGGAAAGAACAGACAAGCUGCCUGAGAGGACAGAUAGACAGUGUGUCUGUCCUGUAUUCUGUUGGAAGACUCAGGGAUUGAACCCCUGCUACUCGUCACGGAACAGAUAAAAUAUGAAGGAGAGGAGAAAACAUGAAGGGGAAAGAGGAAGGUGGAAGUCUCCGGGAUUGAACCCUUACCACUAGGAUUACAUCCUGAAUCCAGGAUGCAACGCUACCACUAGACCAAACUCAAACUAGUCAUGGAACAGAUAAAGUUAUUUUACAGUUCAACCUCCCCAGAGGUCCACAUGAAGAAAAAGCAAGAAUGAACACUCAAAUGAUCAACUUGACCAGGCAGUCCCAGAACCCCUCUCUGGAGAGACCAACCCUCCUCCCAGCAUCACCCCUCUUCCUGGUCCAGUCCAGUGUGUAGACAACCCCUCAGGUGAUCCUGGAGAGGUGGUCUAUGACACACACACAUUUCCCAUCAGACAUCAGCCUCCUGGUCCAGUCCAGUGUGUAGACAACCCCUCAUUCGCCUCCUGUGCAUUUCUUCAGCCAUUCCUGGACCUGUGACCAAAAACAAGCUACAUAUGGACAAUACCAAAAUAAAUGAUCCAAUGACUGCCUCCUCUCAGCAAGAUCUGCAGAGCUUGGUUGCAAGAAUUCUGUAUAGUAAUUUAAAAUGAAAAAUGUAAAGCUUUGAAUCCAGCUUUGUUUUGCGUAUCAAUUCAUAAACAAUGUGCCAUGGAAUGGGUCGAAAAACAUCGAAAAUCUCUUCCCAACUAUUUUGUCAUUUAUAUGGCACAGCUGUCAGUGUUUUGGUCCUUAAAUUAAAUUGCUAUAUGUUUUAAUUUAUCACACUUUUCUUUAAUCGUUUAUGUUCUUUAAUGCAGGGCCGACAUAUAAGUUCCUUACGUUUUUCUCCUUCUACUUGCCUCUUCCAUUUUUUGGUUGUAAUUUUGGGUAGAGCAGACAUUUCUAUAUGUGUGUGUUAGCUGCAUGUGUAACAUAACUCCACCAGUCCUAUUUAUGAUAUCAUUCACUAAGAUUACCUUUUUUUUUUUAAGUUUCUUCGAAAAAUACGUUGGUUUUUUAUUAUAAAUUAGCAUAUUCGAGUUUAACCACAAUAUUAGUUUUAUUAUUUGUUCUGUCUUUUCAGAUGGAUUAAACUGAAAUUGCAACCAA